ACUCCUACGGGAGGCAGCAGUGGGGAAUAUUGCACAAUGGGCGCAAGCCUGAUGCAGCCAUGCCGCGUGUGUGAAGAAGGCCUUCGGGUUGUAAAGCACUUUUCAGUUCGUGAGGAAGGUAGUGUAGUUUAAUAGCUGCAUUUAUUUGACGUUAGCGACAGAAGAAGCACCGGGCUAACUCCGUGCCAGCAGCCGCGGUAAUACGGAGGGUGCGAGCGUUAAUCGGAAUUACUGGGCGUAAAGCGCAUGCAGGUGGUUUGUUAAGUCAGAUGUGAAAGCCCGGGCUCAACCUCGGAAUUGCAUUUUGAAAACUGGCAAAGCUAGAGUACUGUAGAGGGGGGUAGAAUUUUCAGGUGNAGCGGUGAAAAUGCGUAGAGAUCUGAAGGAAU
rnacentral:rRNA from 1 species